rnacentral:rRNA from 1 species
UACGGAGGGUGCAAGCGUUAUCCGGAUUCACUGGGUUUAAAGGGUGCGUAGGUGGGCAGGUAAGUCAGUGGUGAAAUCUCUGGGCUUAACUCAGAAACUGCCAUUGAUACUAUCUGUCUUGAAUACCGUGGAGGUCAGCGGAAUAUGUCAUGUAGCGGUGAAAUGCUUAGAUAUGACAUAGAACACCAAUUGCGAAGGCAGCUGGCUACACGAAUAUUGACACUGAUGCACGAAAGCGUGGGGAUCAAACAGGA